UUUACAAGUAAAUAUUAUAGAUAAUUGUUACACGAAAUUUUCAAAGAGAAAUAUUACACAAUUCAGCCAUAAACACCUAAAAUACACUACAUUAAAUGGAAAAUAAAUGAGAGGCUCAUAUAUAUAAAUUUCAUUCAUUGGACAAUAACAAAUUAGCACCGCUAUGGUUGCAAAAUACUAGUUGCACGAGCAUUAGAGAAACAUGUCUCCUACUGCUAUGUCGUCCUAGUCGCCACGCCAAAAUAUGGGUCGAAACUUAACGUUAUCCAAAUCACAUUUUCAUGAGAUAAUCAUCACAGCCUCUUCAUUUACCAUAGAAAAAUCAAAUAGAACUAGUCUCCAUUUGCACACACCAUCAUAGCCUCUUCACCAUCAUCAUCAUACUCGUACAAAUCAACAACAUCACAACCCAAGCUCUAAUUCCAUAAGCAUCUAUCCAAAUUGUAAACCAUCACCGUAAACUACAAUAACAAUAACAUCAAUCAGACUCAUUCUGAUCUAGGCAUCACAGCAACGACCCAACUAUAUUCAGCACAUGAAAAACAUAAAACAAGCACAUGUAGUGAGAUAUAGACAUAUAGAGUCUGCAAACAGUUGCAGGGAAGUAGGACGAUGACGAUGAUGGUAGCAAAGAAAAAGGGGUGGAGGGAUAGGGAAAAAGGACCAUUGUAAUAUUACCGUAAGAUAAGAUAUGCAUAUUUUAGAAACAAGGAGGAUAUGAGUGAAAUCAAGAUACGAAGAGGGAGGGAGUGAAGG
rnacentral:lncRNA from 1 species